GGGCCUGUAGCGCAGCUGGUAGAGCGUCUCUAUGGCAUGGAGAAGGUCAGGGGUUCGAGUCCCCUCAGGUCCACCA
rnacentral:tRNA from 1 species